AACGAACGCUGGCGGCAUGCCUAACACAUGCAAGUCGAACGAGACCUUCGGGUCUAGUGGCGCACGGGUGCGUAACGCGUGGGAACCUGCCCUUAGGUUCGGAAUAACUCCCCGAAAGGGGUGCUAAUACCGGAUAAUGUCUUCGGACCAAAGAUUUAUCGCCUUUGGAUGGGCCCGCGUUGGAUUAGCUAGUUGGUAGGGUAAAAGCUUACCAAGGCGACGAUCCAUAGCUGGUCUGAGAGGAUGAUCAGCCACACUGGGACUGAGACACGGCCCAGACUCCUACGGGAGGCAGCAGUGGGGAAUAUUGGACAAUGGGCGAAAGCCUGAUCCAGCAAUGCCGCGUGAGUGAUGAAGGCCUUAGGGUUGUAAAGCUCUUUUACCCGGGAUGAUAAUGACAGGACCGGGAGAAUAAGCUCCGGCGAACUCCGU
rnacentral:rRNA from 1 species